rnacentral:rRNA from 1 species
UCAUUUAAAGAAAGCGUAAUAGCUCACUGGUCGAGUCGGCCUGCGCGGAAGAUGUAACGGGGCUAAACCAUGCACCGAAGCUGCGGCAGCGAACGUAUCACUUAAAGCGAUUCAGCGGGUUACGAUUGACGGAGCGAAGCGACGUCAAAGCGUAUACAAAGUCGAGUCGGUUUAAGGAUACGUUCGUUGGGUAGGGGAGCGUUCUGUAAGCCUGUGAAGGUGGCCUGUGAGGGUUGCUGGAGGUAUCAGAAGUGCGAAUGCU